GAAAGUAUCAUGGAACACAGCUGAUGGUUGGCAUUGUGAGAGUCCAAGAGUAGCCACUGGUGAAAGUGAAUCCUCAGUUUUGAUAAGCCCUAGAUUUGGAGUGAAGUUAAAACUUGGUACUAUGCAGCAGGAUUAUUGUCUCUUAAUAAAGAUUAAGAGCGGUGCCUUUUGAAGGUAUAGCUCAGUUACAGGAGAAGAAUUAACAUUUGGGAGAUAUCAGUACCACGGGACAACAAGAAAGAACAGCAGCAGUGGGGAGUGAAACACCCCUGAGCCUUCAAGCACUUACUGAUCUCUGGCUCUCUGGUUCAACUCAGCUGUUCCAGCUCAAAGCUCCUCUCCAAGGUGGGGAAGUCAUGACUUCUCACCUUUAGUUGGAAUGAUGGAAGAAGAAAAGAAUCCAUUCCCAAGAGGAUGCAGCUGCCUCUCUGAAGGAAAGAUCUUGGAGGAUUUAGAAUAAAGUGUUAACAAACUAAAUGUCUCAGACUGAGGAACUUAAGACAGAAAAGUUCACUUGCUGAUAAAUCCUGUGGGCUGUCAAGAUCCUGUAAGUGUGGAAUAAGAAGAUCAGCACACAAACCUCUGUUCCUGUUUGCCGCUUUGAGAGUUCAGGGGAACUGUGUUGCAGAUGUCAUUCUGGUCUCAACAUUUCUAUCCCUCCCUAUAAAGCCCCUGUAAAGGAUGCAAAUCUGUACAGUCUCUACUCCAACAGAAGCUGUUGCCCUGAAUUUUUCUGAUUAAAGAAAAUCUUGAUACCAUUG
ensembl:lincRNA 4930598F16Rik RIKEN cDNA 4930598F16 gene